GCAGAAAAGCUCUGCGGCGCUCGCGAAACCCGAAGACUUGCAGGGUAAGAACUGAAGCCGCCAAAAGGCUUACUAUACCACACAACACCCAAGCCUUCUUUUGGGGCAUGGGGACAGUGGAUCUAUGGCUCCUCAGGGUGCCAACCAAUUGAAGAAGGAAGCCAGCUCCACUCAACAGCUUCUACAAAGGAAGGGCCACAGGAGAGGGGCUUCAGUGGUUCCAGGCAGCUGCUUCAUUCACAACAGAAUGGCCAUUUUCUCCAGCAUGGCCAACUAUCCCUAGUCUUUUUGUCACGACAGCCUAGAAGGCAGAAGCUAGGGCCAAGGCUGCUGCUAAGGAAUUCCUACUCCUACUGGGGCCUAAUGUCAGGCUUUCCUUAUAUUGUGGAGUGGGCCCUGGAAGAUAGUUAGAGACCCUUCCUGCUGGGCAUCCUGAAGAGGAGCAAGAGGAUCUGGUGAGCAAAAUGAAGCAAAGCUUAGUGCAGUGCUGGAGCUGACAGCCCUGUUCCCUACUGCACGCAGUUGGCAACAGGGCUGUCCCCGACCUUGGAGCUUCUUGCCACUCACGGGCUACCCUGCACACACUACUUACUGCCCAGGCCUGUCUGCCACCACAGUACCCUGGGCCUGAGACCUUUCCUGGCCUCUGCUGGAUCCCAGGCCUAGUAUCAUUCCUAGGGACUCCAGAGGCAAGUCCAGGCUAAUAUGCUCUGGGAAAACAAUGGACAAUGUACAUGUUUGCCUUUUGACGUAGAUAAAUGAUACCUGGAUCCCAGGUCUGUCUCUGGGGCAGGGGAGCUUCAGGCCUGGCUAUGGCAGAACACUGAAGGAGGUACUUUGGGUUUUCACAACCUCUUAAAUCAUCUCAGAGAGAAAGUGAACAAACUUACUUUCACAUGCACAAGCUGCCGCUGGCUCUGUCACAAGAAGAUGAACUACAAGUAAUAAAAUCAAGAUGAAGUUCUGUGUACAUCUUUCCAGCUUACAAAAAUUGUAGAAAGUUGAAGAUGAAAGGGAUAUUAAAGAGCAUCUCAUUCUACCUCCUCAUUUUGCAGCUGUAAGAACCGAGGCCCAGGGAGGGGGGACUGGGGAAGCCACCAUCACACAGCUGCUCCGUGGCAGGAGUUGUGCUAACUUCCUGUGGCUGUUGCCAUUACACCCAGCAUCUUUUGACUUUUGAAAACAGCGAAGGAGAAAUCAGUCCUCCCAGCAUCUUCACCUCCCACGAUGUUUAUUGUUUCCAGCUGUUAAAAAUUGGCCCUUUAAAAAUGGGUCGUCUUGCCAGUCAUUGAGGGUCACCGCGGUGGGGAGUGCUGAUUUAGAGGGCGGCAGAACAGGGAGGUGAUUGGAGGCAUAAUUGCCAGUCUCCUCCUUGGCACCUGGGGAUUUCUGUCGUUCAAGUCUCAGGGUGUGUGCCCUCAGCAAAUACUAACUCACGGAGUCUAUCGCUAACUGCAGUCAUCUGUGCAUUUGCCCUCUGGGGACAGAAAGCCAGAAGAAAUGCCAUUUGCUAAUCUAGUUGGCCUUGGAUGAGAAGAUGUUUUUGCCUAAUGGAAGCCUUUGGAGAGUGAAUAAUGUGAAUAAUGUGUAUUUAGGACCUACAGUGCUCCCCAGGAUGCUGUAAGGGACCUGGUUAUAAAGAAAAAAAAUCUCACUGAUGGUCUUGGCUUUGUCCUUGUCUGAGUUAAGUCCUUUUGGUUGGAAGUAAUCAACUUGAGCUGACUUAAGCAUUAAGGGACAUAGAAGAGUAUAGCAGUAUCUCAUGAAGUCCAAGGGCAGAUGGCCUCAAGGUAGCCCGAGAAGCUGCUAGGAACCUAGACAGUCCACCUUCUCCAGCUUUCUUCUCUGCUUCACGUCUCUCUCUGCAAUCCACUUUCUUCUCUGUGAGUAGCUGGGCAGAGGAUAAUCCCUCAACAACUAUCACAUCUACAUCUUCUCUCCUAAAGAGAUUAGCCAAAGGUGAGUGGCUGUCCUCAGUCCAAUACCAGAUUCCUGGGAGAGGGAAUUUGGUUGUCCCAGCCUGGGUCAGGUGCACAGCUUGAUCCAAUCAGGUGUGCCCAGGAGAGGGUGCCCUGAGACAGGCACAUCUGGGGACACUCAUCCUCAUGAAUGACCGGACAGUUCUCCAGGAAAGAAGAGAGAAGAGGGGAGGUCAGACAUUUCAAAUGUGUAUUAUAGGCGUCAAAUUAGUUACUGAUACAGAAAAAUGGCAAUGUCUAAGUAGGGGGCUUGAGAAACAGUUCAAACAUUGUAGAGAUUUUGAUUAUUUGCUUAACUUCUGGGAUGAUAAAUUGUCUAUUAUGGAGCUGCAUUUUUUUUUGGAGACAGAGUCUUGCUGUUUGGCUGGAGUGCAGUGGCGUGAUCUCGGCUCACCACAACCUCCACCUCCAGGUUCAAGCAAUUCUCCUGCCUCAGCCUCCCAAGUAGCUGGGAUUACAGGCGCCCACCACCACCCCUGGCUAAUUUUUGUAUUUUUAGUAGAAACGGGGUUUCACCAUGUUGGCCAGGCUGGUCUAGAACUCCUGACCUCAAGUGAUCCGCCCUUCUCGGCCUCCCAAAGUGCCAGGAUUACAGGCGUGAGCCACCAUGCCCAGGUGGAGCUGAAUAUUUUUUUUUUUGAGGGGGGGGAUGGAGUCUCGCUUUUUCACCCAGGCUGGAGUGCAAUGGCACGAUCUUGGCUCACUGCAACCUCCGCCUCCCGAGUCCAAGCAAUUCUUCUGCCUCAGCCUCCCCAGUAGCUGGGAUUACAGGCACGUGCCACCACACCCGGGUAAUUUUUGUAUUUUUAGUAGAGACAAGGUUUUACCAUAUUGGCCAGGCUGGUCUCGAACUCCCGACCUCAAGUGAUCCACCCACCUCAGCCUCCCAAAGUGCUGGGAUUACAGGCAUGAGCCACCGCGCCCAGCCAAUCUUUUUAUAUAGUAGAUUUCUUGCGACGUAACCCCUAUCCUCUGGGCUUUGUGUAAAAAGUGCAUUCAGACAAUCUGAGGAGUGUCUUAAUUUUUUGUGUGACUAUCAUAUAUAUUUUCAUCCUGUUGAGGUGUGUUUGCUAGGUGGAUAUUGAACAUGAAAUCAAAGUAUAAUUUUAAACUUGUGUUGAAAUAUAUGUGUAUAAGCAUAUGUGCACAAUUACCUAUAUUGUCAAACACCCAACCUGCUUUCCAAAGGAUUUGAAGCAAGGUCUAAUAAAAACACAGAAAAAGUAUGGCCAAGAGCUGUAAACACCAAAAAAAGAAGUAAAGGGCAAGUCGCAAACAGACUGCAGUUGAGCAAAGCUGCAAAGGACUAUAAUACCAGGCCUGAAGUGGUUGCUAAAUGUAGCUCUGAGCUUUCUGACAGUCAAAGCCAAAAAUAGGUAUAUUUUAUUAUUUAAACAGUGUCUACUCUGAGGUCCUUAAAACUCUUUCAGGGGGCCCACAGAUCAAAACUAUUUUCAUAAUAACACCAAGACAUUGUUUGCAUCUUUCAUUGUCAUUCCCUUAGGAGUGUACAGUGGAGUUUUCCAGAAGGCACAUGCCAUGUGCAUCACCACAGAUUAAAUGCAGAAACAGACAUGAGGAUCUAGCUGUGUCCUACUAAGCCAGACAUUCAGGACAUUUAAAAGUGUAAAACAAUGCCACUCUUCUCACUAACUUUUUUGUUUUGGAAAAUAUAUCUUUCAUAAAAUAUUGAUUAUGUUGAUAUAUUACGGGUUUGUUGUUAUUAUUUUAAAUGAAUUAAUAAAUAAUUUUCUGAUUUAA